rnacentral:rRNA from 1 species
CCUACGGGCGGCAGCAGUGAGGAAUAUUGGUCAAUGGACGAGAGUCUGAACCAGCCACGUCGCGUGAAGGAUGACUGCCCUAUGGGUUGUAAACUUCUUUUAUAUGGGAAUAAAAUGUUCCACGUGUGGGAUUUUGUAUGUACCAUAUGAAUAAGGAUCGGCUAACUCCGUGCCAGCAGCCGCGGUAAUACGGAGGAUGCGAGCGUUAUCCGGAUUUAUUGGGUGUAAAGGGAGCGUAGGUGGAUUGGUAAGUCAGUUGUGAAAGUUUGCGGCUCAACCGUAAAAUUGCAGUUGAAACUGGCAGGCUUGAGUACAGUAGAGGUAGGCGGAAUUCGUGGUGUAGCGGUGAAAUGCUUAGAUAUCACGAAGAACUCCGAUGGCGAAGGCAGUUCACUGGACUGCAACUGACGCUGAGGCUCGAAAGUGUGGGUAUCAAACAGGAUUAGAUACCCGAGUAGUC